rnacentral:rRNA from 1 species
GACGAACCGAGCGAACGUUGUUCGGAAUCACUGGGCUUAAAGGGCGCGUAGGCGGGUGCUCAAGUCCGGGGUGAAAUCCCACAGCUCAACUGUGGAACUGCCUCGGAUACUGGGUGCCUCGAGUGUGGUAGGGGUGUGCGGAACUAUCGGUGGAGCGGUGAAAUGCGUUGAUAUCGAUAGGAACUCCGGUGGCGAAGGCGGCACACUGGACCACAACUGACGCUGAGGCGCGAAAGCCAGGGGAGCAAACGGG